rnacentral:rRNA from 1 species
CGCUGGCGGCGUGCUUAACACAUGCAAGUCGAACGAAUGGUAGAGGGCUUGCUCUCUAUCGUUAGUGGCGGACGGGUGCGUAACACGUGAGGAACAUACCCAUCGGCGGGGGAUAGCCGGCCCAACGGCCGGGUAAUACCGCGUACGACCUUUUGAGCGCAUGCUCGAGGGGUGAAAGCAGCAAUGCACCGGUGGAGUGCCUCGCGGCCUAUCAGCUUGUUGGUGAGGUCGCGGCUCACCAAGGCGACGACGGGUAGCUGGUCUGAGAGGAUGGCCAGCCACAUUGGGACUGAGACACGGCCCAGACUCCUACGGGAGGCAGCAGUGGGGAAUAUUGCGCAAUGGCCGAAAGGCUGACGCAGCGACGCCGCGUGUGGGAUGAAGGUCCUCGGAUUGUAAACCACUGUCAGGAGGGACGAAUGCCGGGCAACCGGUUUGACGGUACCUCCAGAGGAAGCACCGGCUAACUCCGUG